AAAUCCGAUGGUGGAAUCCACUUCUGUAUACCCACCACCGCGACCGCCGCAAGGUCCUACUCGGCCAUAUCCACCUCCUCCGACCUAUGCUUGUGGUGGCAGUGGACCUACUCCACCACCACCCACAGCGGGAUAUCCUCCAUCAACGGUGGGAUAUCCACCAGCACCGGCAGGAUAUCCACCAUCAUCGGGUGGAUAUCCACCAGCACCGGCGGGAUAUCCACCGGCGACGGCAUAUCCUCCACCACCCCAAUAUGGAUAUCCGCCACCACCCCAAUAUGGAUAUCCGCCACAUCAAGGUGCAUACGGGUAUGGGUAUCCACAAGUACAGCGGCCGCCAAAGAAGAACAAUA
rnacentral:lncRNA from 1 species